AACGCUGUAUCUGCCACCAUUUACAAGCAAGACAAAAGAGACGUUUGAAAUCAAACAAACAUUGUAGAAGAGUCUAUUUUCAACAUUCGUAUUUCAAGAUGAUUCGUGUUCUGCUUUUGUGUCUAUGGAUUCUGACAAUUCUUGAGAGUAUCACGGCGAAAGUACAAUGGAAGCAAAAAUUGGACAUUAAAGAUAAAUUGUUAGGUAAGCAUUCUUUGUAUCAGCAAUAUGAUGUAUACUUUGGCAGUCUCACUAGAAAGCGCUUUCCAAAGGAGCAUGUACAUGCAAGAAGCUAACAUCGCCAAACACUUUUUGUGAUGAAAGCACACAAUAAAAACAUUUCAAAUAGAAGCUAUAUUUAGUUAUUUCGCAACAAUUCAAAGACAUUUGAAAAAAGACACCACAUAAAAUAAUGUGUGGUCGUACAUAUUAACAGUGUCAUAAAAAGAGGUGUAUAACUUGUACGUAACUCUUCUGUUUUGAAUUAAAUUAAGCAUCAUGGCUGGCCGUUUAAAUCUGAAUAAAUUUCUUCAAGUAGUAUUUAACAUCAUUUGAAAAGAAGUAAGUUAGUAGUUGGGUGGGCGACUUCCUAGUUCCUGAACAGUAACUCAUAGAAUUUCAACCAAACUUCGACUUCAGGUAAGUCUCGUUUAAUUUUCUAAUUCUAUUUCGUCACUGUUCUACGUCACUAGGAAGUCAUGUGAGAUUUUAAAGCAAUGUGGACAUGAGCAAUAACUAAUAACAAAACAAUAUAAUUGAAAUUUCACAUUUCAUGUCUCACAAAUGGCAGAAAGUAGAUCAUUGCCAAAGUUCUUCGCCUCAAAGUAUGAAUUCAAGUAAGUGCCUUCAUCAAUAAACUUUUUUAAAUCACAUAUUUACACUGCGUGUAACGAUAAUACGCAAACAGUUAAUUUCAUCAGAUAAAAGAUAGUAGCUAUAUGCCAAAACCAAGUCAUAGUGUAAGAUAGAAAAGUUGUUGUAGUUUUGCACAGAUUGCCGAAUACAGAUGAAUGAUUUAACCAAUUAGUAAAUUCUUAUAAUAUCAUUUACUUAAUUACAAAAUACAGUACGUGUAACAAUUAAAGAAAUGUUUUGCAAGGAAGUCAGAAUAUGCUUUACUAUUCAUCUUCACCCUUUCCUCGACCAAAAAUGGUCCAAUUAACAUUUUUUCACAGA